UGAGUUGUGCCUGACUUGCUCUCGAAUCGGGCUCACCGCAUAUUUGUGCGGUCAACCGUUUCGGAGCCUGUCUCUUGAGCGUCCCGCCCGAUGCACAUAUUUAGCUUGGGCGGUGUGAUGAAUGGGUUGGUGCCUGUGUUGCUACUCUUUUUGGGACAAUGUUUGUUUUGUGACAACGGCAUGUCAUGUUGCCUUCGAUUAUGAUUUUGAGAAAGUUGCGUGGGCUAUUGAAACAUCGGCUUUGUUCGGGAGCGCGAUUGAUUGGUCUCGACUCGUCUGCAGCUCGCUUCACAUAUUAUAUGAGCAGCUCUUUCGGAUACGGUGGCUAUGUCGGUUCUUGUGGUCCUCUUCGGUCCGCAUGCGACCUUGUAGUUCACCCGUAACAGUUCAUCGUGCGGUUGGAUCUUUUGCCAUCUUUGCGUUCCYGUUUUUGCUCUCAUGCCGGAGCAAAGGCGGGGCGUGGGGAUGCAGAUGCUGGCUUGCGGGGGCGAUGCUGUAUGUGUGGGAGUUCUAUGCUAUAUUAGUGAUUGCCGUUGCGUGCGUGCGUUUAGGUAUUCCGUCCGGGAGUGCCUCAGCAGCUCGCAGGCUCACUUUUUUGACUUGCUACCUGGUUGAUCCUGCCA
rnacentral:misc_RNA from 1 species